rnacentral:pre_miRNA from 1 species
CUGUGCAUAGUGUUCUGCACCAGGGACAGGCAUGGUUACCUGUGUGGAUAGUGUUCAGCACCAGGGACAGGCAUGUUUACCU